CAGACGUGUGUGUGUGUGUGUGUGUGUCAGGUGUCAUGUGACGAUGCUGAGAGGUCAGCUGAUCGGAAAGUGACGUUCGAUGUGACCGAGUCAGAGAUGAGCAGUGUGUACAGCCCAGAGGGAACAGUUCCAGUGAAGGUGCAGCAGCUGGCCGACUCUCUGCAGCUGAUCUCAGGUCAGCUCAACUCUGUGUUAGGAGCUUUGGGUUCACUAACACACAAAACAGACUCCGCCCCCCCUCUGACAACACCCCCCUGCUGCCCCGCCCCUCGUGGGCGUGGCCUACAACCCCCUCACUGGCCAACGGACUCUCACACAGAGCCACAGACGCACUGCAGACGCGCUGGAGCGGCCUGAGCUCAGAAACCAGCAGAGCGCACAUGACCUACUCAGGAUACACACCACCAAGUCUGUCGAGUCUGCGUCCGUCAGAGGUCGAGGGUCAGCGGCUGCAGGGUCUUAUUGAAGGGAAACAAACGCUGGCUGGAGGCUCAACGGAAGAAACCACAACAUUCCUCUGUUCCCGGAGCGCAGGAGUGUGUCCAGCGGCGGAGGGUUAGUUCAGCUCAGUCUCGAUGAUAAUAACCAGAUUAAAGUUCUUCACUACUGAAGCAGUGUGAACAAGCACACGCGUGUUCCUCAGGACGGCUGAAGACGGCUGGGUUUGACCCGUCUCGUCUACAUUUCCAUUUCUAUAGCUGUGUGCAGAUCUCAUUUGUAAGAUAUUUUUGUAAACAGUAAAUGAACUGAAUACUU